CUAAUUUCUCCUUGGCGGUUGUGGCAUGUUAAGUGGGGAUGUUUCUUUCUCUGAAACCCUCUGCAAAGAGAAAUGUUCAGUAUUAUACAAUUAUUGUUUGUUACGAUUAGACUCAUUGACAAACUAACUAACUAACAAAUUGAAACCCUGUGAAAAAAAUAUUUACCUGGUUCAAUGAAACAUUGAUCACUGAAGUGUUUGAACAGAUUGCUUUGCAGGCAAAACCCGAGAUGUUGAUGGAGAGGAUGAUCUGAAGGAUGGAAAACACCAGCAAUAUUCCAACAAUCCCACGACCAAAAAUCUACAAAAUAUUAAAGGGAUAGAUCACCCAAAACUGAACAUUCUCAUAUUAUUUACAUGUUGUGACAAACCUGUAUACAUUUCUUUGUUUUGAUGACCACAAAAGAGAUACUGUAUUUUGAGGAAUGUUUGAAAUGAAACAUGAUCCCCAUUAACUCCAUAGUAGUAAAAUAGAAUACUUUGGAAGUGAAUAGCGGUCAUGAUCAGUUUGGUUUCAAACAUUCCCCAGCAAAAAAACAUUUAAAUUAAAAUGUUAAGUGCUAUGAACUCAAAUUAUUUAUUUAUUAAAAUUAUUUGCUGUCGCUGUGUAAUAUAAUUGAUUGUGAAAAUCGGCAUGCAGCGCUGAUUGGUCAAUUCCUGACGCAGCAGCAAGCCUGACUGAGGAACUGGCAGUGAGAACCAAAAGAGCCUGCCCUGGAGUGAAAUUUCAACACUAAAGGCAAGUCGCCGUAAAGCAGUCAGUCAAUAGAUUCGUUAAGAGGCACAGUAAAGUUUCACUGCGGCACGAGCAGCCAGGUUGGGUGGAGAGACAGAGGAACGCUUCGGCUCCAGCAGGCACACGGGGUCCGGACCGUUGGAGAGACAUAUUGGACAAAGCUGGUAUGGACUCAAGUGAAGAACCAGUGAGAAGGAGCUUGACAAUUGCCAAUGUAAUUUACAGGAAGUUUCUGUUGAUGUGUUUCAUAUUCAAAGUGAUUUACAUACAGAUGAUGGGUAGGCUGAAGGACUAACAU